rnacentral:lncRNA from 1 species
ACAUGGCUAUAAAGAAAUACCUGAGAUUGGGUAAUUUUUAAAGGGAAGAUAUUUAAUUGGCUUCUGGUUCUGCAGACUGUAUAGGAAGCAUGGCUGAGGAGGCCUUGGGAAACUUACAAUUGUGGCAGAAGGUGAAGAGAAAGGAGAGGCACGUCUUACAUGGCAGGAGCAGGAGGAAGAGAGACAGGGGAGGUGCCUCACACUUUUAAACAACCAUGUCUUAUGAGAACUAACUUACUGUAUAGUACCAAGGCGGGGAUGGUACUAAACCAUGAGAAACUACCCCCAUGGUCCAAUCACCUCCCACCAGGACCCACCUUCAGCAUCAGGGAUUACAUUUCAACAUGAGAUUUGGGUGGAGACACAUAUUCAAACCAUAUCAGGUGGGGAUUAGGAAACGCCAUUCUCACCACUACGAAGCAUCUUCCUCCCUUAAGGAGGGGAUAGAGACGAGGGCCCAGGAGUGUCAGCAUAAUCUAAUUCACUCCAGAGCAGUAGAGCGGGAAAACAUGAGCAUAGGGGAUAAGAGCCCUUCUAUGGUUUGAAAGUAUCCCCUAGGCCGGGCACGGCAGUUCAUGCCUGGAAUCCAAGCACUGUGGGAGGCUGAGGCAGGCGGAUCACCUGAACUCAGGAGUUCGAGACCAGCCUGGCCAACAUGGUGAAACCCCAUCUCUAUUAAAAAUACAAAAAUUAGCUGGGUUUGGUGGUGCAUGUCUGUAGUUCCAGCUAUUCAGGAGGCUGAGGCAGGAGAAUCACUUGAAAACAGAAGGCAGAGUUUGCAGUGAUCCGAGGUUGUGCCAUUGCACUCCAGCCUGGAUGUCACAGCAAGACUCCGUCUCAAAAAAAAAAAGUAUCCCCCAAAGAGCAUGUGAUGGGAACUUAA